GACGAACCGUGCGAACGUUGUUCGGAAUCACUGGGCUUAAAGGGCGCGUAGGCGGCUUGCCAAGUCGGGGGUGAAAUCCGGCAGCUUAACUGUCGAAGUGCCUUCGAUACUGGCAAGCUCGAGGGAGGUAGGGGUCUGUGGAACUUCUGGUGGAGCGGUGAAAUGCGUUGAUAUCAGAAGGAACGCCGGUGGCGAAAGCGACGGACUGGACCUCUUCUGACGCUGAGGCGCGAAAGCUAGGGGAGCAAACAGG
rnacentral:rRNA from 1 species